rnacentral:rRNA from 1 species
CCGAAUUCGUCGACAACAGAGUUUGAUCCUGGCUCAGGAUGAACGCUGGCGGCGUGCCUAAUACAUGCAAGUCGAGCGAAUGGAUUAAGAGCUUGCUCUUAUGAAGUUAGCGGCGGACGGGUGAGUAACACGUGGGUAACCUGCCCAUAAGACUGGGAUAACUCCGGGAAACCGGGGCUAAUACCGGAUAACAUUUUGAACCGCAUGGUUCGAAAUUGAAAGGCGGCUUCGGCUGUCACUUAUGGAUGGACCCGCGUCGCAUUAGCUAGUUGGUGAGGUAACGGCUCACCAAGGCAACGAUGCGUAGCCGACCUGAGAGGGUGAUCGGCCACACUGGGACUGAGACACGGCCCAGACUCCUACGGGAGGCAGCAGUAGGGAAUCUUCCGCAAUGGACGAAAGUCUGACGGAGCAACGCCGCGUGAGUGAUGAAGGCUUUCGGGUCGUAAAACUCUGUUGUUAGGGAAGAACAAGUGCUAGUUGAAUAAGCUGGCACCUUGACGGUACCUAACCAGAAAGCCACGGCUAACUACGUGCCAGCAGCCGCGGUAAUACGUAGGUGGCAAGCGUUAUCCGGAAUUAUUGGGCGUAAAGCGCGCGCAGGUGGUUUCUUAAGUCUGAUGUGAAAGCCCACGGCUCAACCGUGGAGGGUCAUUGGAAACUGGGAGACUUGAGUGCAGAAGAGGAAAGUGGAAUUCCAUGUGUAGCGGUGAAAUGCGUAGAGAUAUGGAGGAACACCAGUGGCGAA